rnacentral:lncRNA from 1 species
AAAGCUGCAGGCACAGGGGCGCCGCUCUACGGCUUUGGAGACCACUGCACCGGUCCUCCGGGCUGGGCCGGCGCGCGCUGCGCGCUCCUCGCCUUCACCCGGGUCUCCGGGUCUCCCCGGCUCCGACGGGCUCCGGCCUCGGCCCCCCGCUCCGGCUUGCCUUUCCUGCCGGGUCUCCUGGCACAGGCUCGGCUCCUGCGGCGGCGGCCACGCGCUCUCCGCUCCGCGCCGGGGUCCUGGGCACUCUCCCUGGGCCCCGCCGCUCGCAGGCUGGGACUGGGGAUUGAGGGUGGGCAGCGGCCAGGGGAGCGGGGCAGGUGGGGAGCCGCGGGCGCGCGGGAGGGAGGGGGCGACAGAGGGAGCCCAAGGAAAAAAGAUGCAUCUGCUCUGAAAGCGCCAAUGAAGGAAGGACGGAGGGGGCAGGAGCGGAGAGCGGAGAGAACGCCCACCAGGAGGGGUGGCGAGACGGGCAGUUUACAAACUGCCAGGGCUGGAGGAGCCCCGCGAGGAAGGAAGGAGGUUGGGAGGAGAGAAGGAAACCCAAGAGGAAGAUCUCAUUUCCCCCCGAAAAGAUCAGGAGCCACCUGCUUCGAUAUGCGGUAUUCCCGAGGAGAUUUAGAGGGAAAAGAAAAAACUGAAAAGAAAAAAAAAAAAAAAAACCCUAAACACACACUUGAAACUGGAAGACGCCUAAGACGCGUGGAAACGGAGAGGGCGAGAAGAUCUCCCGGGGCUACAGAUCUGUCAGCUAAGGAAGAUUGGAUUUAAAAUAUUCCAGACAAGAAAAAGGUCACCGCUGGUGAACUGGUGGCAAUGAGGUAUAGAAAACAGUAAAUAUGCAUAGCUGAAUGUGACUGAAGUUGAAGACUUAUUUCUACAAACACUUACUUGCUUGGCAUCUGAACUGAUGAUAUGUGCUCACCUAUGUGUCCCAACAACUCUUAUAAAGGUAACAGUUUUCAUUAUUGUAGUCAUUUAAAUAAAAAUUAUUAAACAUAAUAACUUCAAUAAAACUAUACAUUGAAUAAUGCUUAAUGAGACAAGUGGGAAUUCACAGACCUUAUUUUAUCUCUUCUCCUCUAGACCUAAAGGCCCAUAAUCUACCCCAG